UACAGAGGUCCCAAGCGUUGUUCGGAUUCACUGGGCGUAAAGGGUGCGUAGGCGGGUCUUUAAGUCAGGGGUGAAAUCCUGGAGCUCAACUCCAGAACUGCCUUUGAUACUGAGGAUCUUGAGUAUGGGAGAGGUGAGUGGAACUGCGAGUGUAGAGGUGAAAUUCGUAGAUAUUCGCAAGAACACCAGUGGCGAAGGCGGCUCACUGGCCCAUUACUGACGCUGAGGCACGAAAGCGUGGGGAGCAAACAGG
rnacentral:rRNA from 1 species